rnacentral:piRNA from 1 species
UGUGAGAUGUCCCUGUCAUGCCUCCGUGA